rnacentral:rRNA from 1 species
AUGGGCAAGGGGAAGCAGCGCGUCCGCGCCCGCGGCGACGGCGCCGGAGGAGAGCCUGCCGGGGAAGGCGAAGCUGCCGUCGCCGGAGGCGGCGGCGCUGCCGGCGGGGGCCACACCCCCUCCACCGUCUUCGUCUCCAACCUGCCGUACACCUACAAGUCCUCCGAUCUCGAGACGGUGUUCAGCGAGGUCGGGCCGGUGAGGCGCUGCUUCAUGGUCGCGUCGAAAGGGUCCGAGACGAGUAAAGGAUUUGGGUUUGUACAAUUUGCCACUGUUCAGGAUGCUGAGCGAGCUAUUCAACAAAAGAAUGGUUUUGCUGUUGCUGGUAGGAAAAUCAGAGUUAAGCUCGCAAUACAACGUGCUCCGUUGAAGGAACGUUUGCAAAAGAAAGAGAGCGCAGUGCAAGCUGACGACUCCAAUGCAAAAGAUGAAGAAGAUGACAAUUCUACUCCUGUUCCUGUAAAACAUAAGGAGACCUCUCAUAAAGCUGAUGCAGGACCACCACAGUUAUUGGCCAAGUAUACCAAAGUAGCGAAGGAAGUUAGCACUAAUGCUACUGACAAACCGAAAAGUUCUGAAAAGCAAAGGAUCGCCAAAACCGUUAUAUUUGGUGGUCUUCAAGACUUCUCCAUGGCUAGUGAAGUUUUCCGUCUGGCAGGAGAGAUUGGCACGGUAGUGUCUGUAAAUUAUCCACUUCCAAAAGAGGAAAUGGAGCUCCAUGGGCUUGCACGCGAUGGGUGCACAUCGGAUGCGGCAGCAGUACUCUUUUCAAGUGUGAAAUCAGCUUGGGAGGCUGUUGUCCUCUUGCAUCACAAGGAGAUAAAAGGAGCAAUUGUUUGGGCUCGUCAACUUGGUGGGGAGGGUUCAAAGAUCAGGAAAUGGAGAGUGAUAGUCAGGAACCUGCCAUUCAAGGUUACUAUAAAGGAGGUCAUGGACAUAUUUAGUUGUGAAGGAUUUGUCUGGGAUGUCUCCAUUCCACAAAAAUCUGAUGAUGGGAAGUCAAAAGGCUUUGCUUUUCUGUCUUUCACACGCAAACAGGAUGCAGAAAAUGCUAUAAAAAAUGUUAACGGAAAAGUUAUUGCAAAGAGAACAGUCGCUGUUGAUUGGGCUGUUCCGAAGAAUGUAUAUGCUGUUGCUGCAAAGUCUGAUGCUAAGGACGAUGAGUUGGAAGAUAUAUCUGACAAGGGCAGUGACAAGGAAUCCUCUGAAGAUAAUCUUGUUGGAGGAGAUGACAGCGAUGAUAACUGUGAACUUGAUCAGGAGACUUCAAAUCGUCUUCCUGUGGAUGAUUUCAAAAGUGAAGCGGACAUUUCUAGAAAAGUUCUUGAAAAUUUGAUCAAGUCAUCAGAGAAGUCUGAGCGGUCUGGUGUUGAGAGUUCUGAUAUUGAUACAGAUUCUGAAACAGAAAAUGACACACCAGAGAAGAGUUCUGAUAUUGAUACAGAUUCUGAAACAGAAAAUGACACACCAGAGAAGAGUUCUGAUAUUGAUACAGAUUCUGAAACAGAAAAUGACACACCAAAAAAGAAGCAACCCCAGUCACCUGCAGCUGUCAAGUUGGCAGAAUCUAGAGAUGUAACAAAGACCGAAAGUAUCAUUCCUGCUUUGAAACCUGCAGCUGCCAUGUUGGCAGAAUCUAAACAUGUAGCAGAGACAGAAAGCAAUGUUCCUUCUUUGAAACCUAAGAAAGAAGAUGCUGGCCUGGAUAGGACAAUAUUCAUAAGCAACCUUCCUUUCGAUAUUAGCAAUGAGGAGGUAACAGAGCGGUUCUCAGUGUUUGGGAAGGUUCAAUCUUUCUUCCCAGUUCUGCAUAAACUCACAAAGAGACCUAGAGGGACUGGUUUUCUCAAGUUUUCUACAGCAGAGGCAGCCGAUGCAGCAGUUUCUGCUGCUAAUGCUGCUCCUGGAUUAGGAAUUUUUGUAAAAAGCAGACCACUUAAUGUUAAGAAAGCGCUGGAUAAGGAGUCAGCUCACAAAAAGGAACUGGAGAAGGGAAAGAAUGAGGUUGAGGAUCGACGCAACCUGUAUUUGUCAAAGGAAGGUGAAAUACUCCCUGGAACGCCAGCUGCGGAAGGUGUUUCAGAUGUUGACAUGAAUAAACGUAGUUGGUUGGCUAAAAGAAAAGCAGAAAUGCUUGUAUCUCCAAAAUUCCAUGUCUCCAGAACAAGGCUUAUCAUUUACAAUUUGCCAAAGACUCUGACCAUUAAUGAUGUAAAGAAGCUUUGCCGAGAAGCAGUAAUUUCUCGUGCUACCAAGCAAAAUCCUGUCAUCCGGAAGGUAAAUAUCCUAAACAAUGAAAAGAAAGGUCAGGGUGCUGCACAAAAGCAUUCCCGGGGGGUAGCCUUUGUUGACUUUCAAGAACAUGAGCAUGCUCUUGUAGCUCUGAGGGUUCUAAACAACAACCCUGGAACCUUUGGUACAGAACGUCGUCCAAUUGUCGAGUUUGCACUUGAGGAUGUUGAAAAAAUGAGGCUCCAGAAGAUUCGGAACGAACGCAAUGGUAGGGCAAAAGAGGCUGCACAAGAGCGGAGGGCUCUGGGAGAUCAGUCUACAACUGAUGGCCCUCGUCCAAAUAAGAAGGGACCUUUUGGAAAAGGGAGCAAGCAAGAAUCGCAAGAUAUACCAUCUAAAUUAUCUGACUCUGGCAAAGGACCUUCAGAUGAUCUGUCAGUUCCUGGAGGUCCCAACACCACUGUGGAAAGCACACAGGGAGACAAAAGGCAAUCUCAAAGGCCCGCGAAACGAGCACGGCAGUCAAUUAAGGGAACCUCCUCUGUGUCAGAUGGAAAUCAAACAGAUGUGGCCCCGAAUGCUGCACCGAGUGGACCAUCCACAGCACACACUCAGGCGGACGCACGAAGAAAAAGGAGGAACAGAAAUGAUGGUGAGCAGAAGAGAGACAAGGCUACGAAAAGGGCGAGGAAAGAUGCGAGUGGGGCGGGGGGCGUGGACAAGUCGCUGGCGGAGCAGUACCGCUCCAAGUUUCUGCAGCACGGCGUGAACAAAACCAAGGCUAGUUAA